rnacentral:rRNA from 1 species
GGGUUGUGAGGUUAAGCGACUAAGCGUACACGGUGGAUGCCCUGGCAGUCAGAGGCGAUGAAGGACGUGCUAAUCUGCGAUAAGCGCCGGUAAGGUGAUAUGAACCGUUAUAACCGGCGAUUUCCGAAUGGGGAAACCCAGUGUGACUCGUCACACUAUCAUUAACUGAAUCCAUAGGUUAAUGAGGCGAACCGGGGGAACUGAAACAUCUAAGUACCCCGAGGAAAAGAAAUCAACCGAGAUUCCCCCAGUAGCGGCGAGCGAACGGGGAGGAGCCCAGAGCCUGAAUCAGCAUGUGUGUUAGUGGAAGCGUCUGGAAAGGCGCGCGAUACAGGGUGACAGCCCCGUACACAAAAGCGCAUGUGCUGUGAGCUCGAUGAGUAGGGCGGGACACGUGGUAUCCUGUCUGAAUAUGGGGGGACCAUCCUCCAAGGCUAAAUACUCCUGACUGACCGAUAGUGAACCAGUACCGUGAGGGAAAGGCGAAAAGAACCCCGGCGAGGGGAGUGAAAAAGAACCUGAAACCGUGUACGUACAAGCAGUGGGAGCACAGGUUUACCUGUGUGACUGCGUACCUUUUGUAUAAUGGGUCAGCGACUUAUAUUCUGUAGCAAGGUUAACCGUAUAGGGGAGCCGGAGGGAAACCGAGUCUUAAUUGGGCGUUAAGUUGCAGGGUAUAGACCCGAAACCCGGUGAUCUAGCCAUGGGCAGGUUGAAGGUUGGGUAACACUAACUGGAGGACCGAACCGACUAAUGUUGAAAAAUUAGCGGAUGACCUGUGGCUGGGGGUGAAAGGCCAAUCAAACCGGGAGAUAGCUGGUUCUCCCCGAAAGCUAUUUAGGUAGCGCCUCGUGAAUUCAUCUCCGGGGGUAGAGCACUGUUUCGGCUAGGGGGCCAUCCCGGCUUACCAACCCGAUGCAAACUGCGAAUACCGGAGAAUGUUAUCACGGGAGACACACGGCGGGUGCUAACGUCCGUCGUGAAGAGGGAAACAACCCAGACCGCCAGCUAAGGUCCCAAAGUCAUGGUUAAGUGGGAAACGAUGUGGGAAGGCCCAGACAGCCAGGAUGUUGGCUUAGAAGCAGCCAUCAUUUAAAGAAAGCGUAAUAGCUCACUGGUCGAGUCGGCCUGCGCGGAAGAUGUAACGGGGCUAAACCAUGCACCGAAGCUGCGGCAGCGACGCUUAUGCGUUGUUGGGUAGGGGAGCGUUCUGUAAGCCUGUGAAGGUGGCCUGUGAGGGUGGCUGGAGGUAUCAGAAGUGCGAAUGCUGACAUAAGUAACGAUAAAGCGGGUGAAAAGCCCGCUCGCCGGAAGACCAAGGGUUCCUGUCCAACGUUAAUCGGGGCAGGGUGAGUCGACCCCUAAGGCGAGGCCGAAAGGCGUAGUCGAUGGGAAACGGGUUAAUAUUCCCGUACUUGGUGUUACUGCGAAGGGGGGACGGAGAAGGCUAUGUUGGCCGGGCGACGGUUGUCCCGGUUUAAGCGUGUAGGUGUGUGUUCCAGGUAAAUCCGGUUCACUUUAACACUGAGGCGUGACGACGAGGCACUACGGUGCUGAAGCAACAAAUGCCCUGCUUCCAGGAAAAGCCUCUAAGCAUCAGGUAACAUCAAAUCGUACCCCAAACCGACACAGGUGGUCAGGUAGAGAAUACCAAGGCGCUUGAGAGAACUCGGGUGAAGGAACUAGGCAAAAUGGUGCCGUAACUUCGGGAGAAGGCACGCUGAUAUGUAGGUGAAGUGAUUUACUCAUGGAGCUGAAAUCAGUCGAAGAUACCAGCUGGCUGCAACUGUUUAUUAAAAACACAGCACUGUGCAAACACGAAAGUGGACGUAUACGGUGUGACGCCUGCCCGGUGCCGGAAGGUUAAUUGAUGGGGUCAGCGCAAGCGAAGCUCCUGAUCGAAGCCCCGGUAAACGGCGGCCGUAACUAUAACGGUCCUAAGGUAGCGAAAUUCCUUGUCGGGUAAGUUCCGACCUGCACGAAUGGCGUAAUGAUGGCCAGGCUGUCUCCACCCGAGACUCAGUGAAAUUGAACUCGCUGUGAAGAUGCAGUGUACCCGCGGCAAGACGGAAAGACCCCGUGAACCUUUACUAUAGCUUGACACUGAACAUUGAGCCUUGAUGUGUAGGAUAGGUGGGAGGCUUUGAAGCGUGGACGCCAGUCUGCGUGGAGCCGACCUUGAAAUACCACCCUUUAAUGUUUGAUGUUCUAACGUGGACCCGUUACCCGGGUUGCGGACAGUGUCUGGUGGGUAGUUUGACUGGGGCGGUCUCCUCCUAAAGAGUAACGGAGGAGCACGAAGGUUGGCUAAUCCUGGUCGGACAUCAGGAGGUUAGUGCAAUGGCAUAAGCCAGCUUGACUGCGAGCGUGACGGCGCGAGCAGGUGCGAAAGCAGGUCAUAGUGAUCCGGUGGUUCUGAAUGGAAGGGCCAUCGCUCAACGGAUAAAAGGUACUCCGGGGAUAACAGGCUGAUACCGCCCAAGAGUUCAUAUCGACGGCGGUGUUUGGCACCUCGAUGUCGGCUCAUCACAUCCUGGGGCUGAAGUAGGUCCCAAGGGUAUGGCUGUUCGCCAUUUAAAGUGGUACGCGAGCUGGGUUUAGAACGUCGUGAGACAGUUCGGUCCCUAUCUGCCGUGGGCGCUGGAGAACUGAGGGGGGCUGCUCCUAGUACGAGAGGACCGGAGUGGACGCAUCACUGGUGUUCGGGUUGUCAUGCCAAUGGCACUGCCCGGUAGCUAAAUGCGGAAGAGAUAAGUGCUGAAAGCAUCUAAGCACGAAACUUGCCCCGAGAUGAGUUCUCCCUGAGACUUAGAGUCUCCUGAAGGAACGUUGAAGACGACGACGUUGAUAGGCCGGGUGUGUAAGCGCAGCGAUGCGUUGAGCUAACCGGUACUAAUGAACCGUGAGGCUUAACCUUACAACGCCGAAG